AAGUCGUAACAAGGUUUCCGUAGGUGAACCUGCGGAAGGAUCAUUAACACGUAUCCAAACGUUAAACCCCCCUGUGAACCUUCAGUGUACUCGUACGUCCGUUAGAAAAAGCAGCAAUCCCUGGUAAAUCAUCGCCGAACAGUUUUCGAUUCAGGGACGUCUGCAAGGAGCGUGCAUGUUGUGCGAGCAAGUGGCCUGGCAUCCCCAAGCAGUUAGUGUCUGAAAGUGUCAUUAACUGUGUAAGGAUGACGCAGUCACGAUCGUUGGAGGCCCACACGGCCGACGACCGGAUAACAAACGCUGCUAAGCGCGGCCGCGAUAAUACGCAGUCGACCAAAAACCGAACAACUGUUAACAAUGGAUAUCUUGGUUCUC
rnacentral:misc_RNA from 1 species